AUUGAACGCUGGCGGCAGGCCUAACACAUGCCAGUCGAGCGGAUGAAGGGAGCUUGCUCCUGGAUUCAGCGGCGGACGGGUGAGUAAUGCCUAGGAAUCUGCCUGGUAGUGGGGGAUAACGUCCGGAAACGGGCGCUAAUACCGCAUACGUCCUGAGGGAGAAAGUGGGGGAUCUUCGGACCUCACGCUAUCAGAUGAGCCUAGGUCGGAUUAGCUAGUUGGUGGGGUAAAGGCCUACCAAGGCGACGAUCCGUAACUGGUCUGAGAGGAUGAUCAGUCACACUGGAACUGAGACACGGUCCAGACCCCUACGGGGGGCAGCAGUGGGGAAUAUUGGAAAGGGGGCGAAAGCCUGACCCAGCCAGGCCGCGUGUGUGAAGAAGGUCUUCGGAUUGUAAAGCACUUUAAGUUGGGAGGAAGGGCAGUAAGUUAAACCCUUGCUUUUUUGACGUUACCAACAGAAUAAGCACCGGCGACCUUCGU
rnacentral:rRNA from 1 species